GAAAGAGAAAUGCCUACACUGUGCUUUUAUUGUGUGAAAAGGAGUAUUAUGAGUGGCCAGUAGGUGCCAGUGUCUGCUUUGAACCACAGAGAGGGUGAGAGUGCAAAAAAUAGAGUCUGAGAGAGAGAGAGACACACAUUCUUACCAUUUCAAAACACGCCCAUUACAAACUCAUAAUUGUUCCAUUAACACACCAUGUUUAAUCCCAACGCCCAUUUGAUAGCCCUCACUGCAGUGUCCAGCAUAGUAUGUCAUACAUGUUCAAUUGCACUGCAGACAUUAGGAGAUAUUUUCUGUUUGGUCAUGUCAGAUAUGAGCGGAGUGUUUAAAAUCGCUAUGUAAAAUUCACUUAAAUUUACUACCACUUAGACCAUCGUCAGAGCUGUGUGUUUAGUGGGGUAGCGUACUUCUGAUGGGGCCCCUGCACCCAUCUGUUUUUAGAGGCAUAAGCAUGCUGUCUGGAGCAUAACAACUGGAGUGCUCUGUAAUCUGGCUAAAUGCCUACUGGCCAUCCAGACACAUGCAGCAGGUAUCUGCAUUUUGUUCUGUAAGAGGGCAAGUCACAUAGUAAGGCAUGAGACUACUCAACACCACUUUUUUGUCUUCGCUCAUCUCUCACUCUCUUGCUCUGUCCAUUCCCUCUUUUUUGUUCUUUCACUCUUGUCACCAAGUCUCCUUCACCACCUGACAUUUGUGUUUAGACAAUGUGUUUAUGUAAUGUCUGGUAGGUCAAUUUGUGUGGCCUGUAUACGGUCCAGGUCCUGACUUUGAAAAGUCUUUUUGCGGAAGCUGCAUGUUUCAUUUAUUAACACUGAAAGGGCCAAACCAUUUCUGUUUUUUCCACUGAGAUUUAGGUUAGGGUUAGAUUUAAGCUUACAAAAAGUAUUUGACUGUCUUAAUUAUCUGUAAAAAUAUGUAAAGCCAUAUAUCUUGGUUAAAAAGAACGCUUAACAGUAGAACAAAUACAGAUAACAGUACAUUGUGGUUUGUGAUUUUAUGUGUCAGUGAGUUGGUUUAACCAUUUUCAAACCUUGAGGAAGCCCACCAUUUACAGUUACCAUUCAGUGCUUAGCUCUGGUAGUCAGUACUUCAUUAAAUUAAAGUCUGCUGAUGGAAUUUAACAAAUGCAUGAAAUAACUGGAGUUCACUUAGCAGUCAGGAACAAAACUUGUAGUACAUGAAAUUUCUUCAGACUUUAAUGCUUUUGUGUAAUGUUAUAUUUAUUCUUAUGUUAAAUUGUAUUUUACAUUUGCACGGUACUUUUGUGUAGUUAAUUUUGAUUAAUUGUGUUCAAAUUGUUUUCAUUUAAAAGCAGUACAUUUUAUUAUAGCUGUAUAAGUGGACCAAAGCUUCAUCAGUAGGUAUUUAUAACUUUUAGUAAUGCAGGAUCAUCAUUUUCAUCAUGCAAAGUUUGUAUGAACUGAACAUGAAAAUCAUGUGAAAGCUGGGUGUACAAAAAACUUGGGUAAAGGUAGUUUCCAGUUAUUAUCACUGAUGUCUAGUGAAGGCAGCAGUGGGUGAAUGUUUCAACCACUGUUGAAUCUUGUUUAAGGGGAAUUGUAGCUUUUCUAUUUGCUAUUGCUUUUGUCAGUUUGCUCCUCAUUGAUUUGUCAGUAGUUCUGUCAUAAGCACUGUGCAGUGCCAUCUGCCAAAUUAUUAAUAUUGCUAGCAUCAGCAGUGUUUUUUCACUGCUAAAAGAUACUCAGUGUACUUUGGUGAUGAACAGACAAUGUAGUAGCUGUACGUAACUUGUUUUAUCAAGGCAGCCAUCAAUGGAACUGCAGAAGACUGCAGUUAACAUUGCAACAAAUGGUUCUACCGUCUAACCCAUAGACUGUGGAGGUGGGGGGGGGAGUGCAGCAAAAACGUUUCUGACGCCCUCUGGUGGCUGACUGCAGUACAACUUUUAACCGUGUCCGUUCCCAUGAACGUGAAUCCAACUAAAACUAGUAAAACUAAAAAUAUAAAAAGUAUACACAUCCAGUGAUUUUUAGGUGUUGUAAAAUCUACAAGCUUCUGUGCCUCUAAAACAUAUCCCAGUAUUUUUUUCCACAAUAGAUUCAUUUUAGAGAAGUCUGGGGAUAUUUAAAAGGUUCUGGCGACGAGGUGAUUGACAGCUAUGUGCUGAGUUGAUGGACAGCUUCUUGAACGAGCAGGCACUCUUCGUUUCUCUACAGCCUGGACCACAAGCGAACACAGCACAGCGAUUGGCUCUGCCUGACAUCAGUAUUGAUAACUUUGAAUGCUCAUUUAGAGCAUUUUGAAGUAAAGAGGUUUCUGAUUGGACAGUACACUGUUCUGAUAGAUCCUCGAUUGGAAGUUCUUCACAGUUGUUUUCGGAAAAUGGUCAUCUGAAGAGCACAGCAGUUCCUUCCAUUUAUGCUGUCUACAUAUGUGGUGAUUCCUACCAUUAGGGACGUGCAAGACUAUGCAGGUCUCCGCCGGUUUUUCUGGUAAUGGCAAACACUAUGAUCUACAUCUCAGAGGACCUCUUCAUCUCUGCAGCAAGGUCCAGACUACUCAGAUGUUCCAGGUCCUUGCUGCUCUAGUGGAUGAGCAGGACAUCAAAGGCAAAGGGGAGUAGGACAUGCCGCGCCUUUACACUGUAUGCCAAACCAACACCAGGGGUGGAGAGCUCUGGUCCUGGAGGGCUGGAUUCCUGCGGAGUAUGAUGAGUUCCUUGCUGAAACUCACUUAAUUCUACUCAGCAAUUAGUUACCAGGUUUAGUUGGCAUGUUAUGCAACUUUCAAGAGAGAGUUGAGUGGGACUUUAUUCCAAGAAGGCAGCACAAUGUGCGUGUUCAUGUGGUUAUUUGAGAGAUAAAAAGAACAGAGGUUGUAAAAUGGUUGUUCCCGUUUAUUAGCUUGCUAGCAUCUGUAGAUGUUGGGCAGUUUUACUGUUUUGAAUCAUACAGAACAGAAAUAAAAUGUGGGUUAACUAUAUUUUUAAAAUUCACUUUACCAUUUAUUAUAUCUGUAUAUGUUCUCUGAUUGCUUUGUCUUGUUGGACUGUUUAUCCAUUAUAAUGGUAAAUGUCUGACAUCAUGCGUCAAUCUGUAGUCUGUCAUGUCUAUAUCCGGGAUUUAGGCCUAUGCAGGAUUUCUGUAUGACUAAAAUGAAUGUGAUUUUUGAAAACCAACACCAUCACUCCCUGUUGUGAACAGAGAGGUUUCAAACCCGAUACCGAUGUACAGCAGUGAUUUUUGGAAAUUCCAUUCAUUUUUUUUCCACAGAAAAAUCUGGCUUAGGCCUGGAGUUUCUAAUUUGGACAAUGUCACCCACAGAAUGACGACAUACCAUCAGUGGUCUUUGAACCUGUGAAUUCAGGCCAAAGUCAAGCCCCAUGGUUUUCUUCACUUCGACUUUCCCAUGGUGGAUGUUACUGUCUCCUAUGAACCAGUGUUUUGGGGCUUGUCGAUAAAUACAUUGCAAUUUAUUGUUUUACAGUUUUCCACAGUGUGUUUCUGAAAAGAAUAUGCAGGUGUAUA